rnacentral:lncRNA from 1 species
UUUGCAUGAAACAGAGCAGGGUUCUGCCCAGCGGGCAAAACCAGGUUCGGCCGCCGAAGGAAUGUUCGGCCGCCGAACCCCUUGUGGAGGCAGUUUCGGCUGCCAAAGCUUGCCCCCGAAACUUGGGACUUUCGUCUCUGGAGGCAAGGUUCGGCCGCCGAAAGUGCCGCCGAAGGUUGAGUUUCGUCUCUGGACGAGACUUUCGGCUGCCGAAGGUGCCGCCGAACAUGCAUGAG